CCUACGGGUGGCAGCAGUGAGGAAUAUUGGUCAAUGGACGAGAGUCUGAACCAGCCAAGUAGCGUGAAGGAUGACUGCCCUAUGGGUUGUAAACUUCUUUUAUAUGGGAAUAAAACGUUCCACGUGUGGGAUUUUGUAUGUACCAUAUGAAUAAGGAUCGGCUAACUCCGUGCCAGCAGCCGCGGUAAUACGGAGGAUCCGGGCGUUAUCCGGAUUUAUUGGGUUUAAAGGGAGCGUAGGUGGAUUGUUAAGUCAGUUGUGAAAGUUUGCGGCUCAACCGUAAAAUUGCAGUUGAAACUGGCAGUCUUGAGUACAGUAGAGGUGGGCGGAAUUCGUGGUGUAGCGGUGAAAUGCUUAGAUAUCACGAAGAACUCCGAUUGCGAAGGCAGUUCACUGGACUGUAACUGACACUGAGGCUCGAAAGUGUGGGUAUCAAACAGGAUUAGAUACCCCGGUAGUC
rnacentral:rRNA from 1 species